rnacentral:rRNA from 1 species
CGAGGGAAUAUUGGGUCAAUGGGGCGCAGGCCUGAACCAGCCAAGUCGCGUGAGGGAGGACGGUCCUACGGAUUGUAAACCUCUUUUGUCGGGGAGUAACGUGCGGGACGCGUCCCGUAUUGAGAGUACCCGAAGAAAAGCAUCGGCUAACUCCGUGCCAGCAGCCGCGGUAAUACGGAGGAUGCGAGCGUUAUCCGGAUUUAUUGGGUUUAAAGGGUGCGCAGGCGGCGCGCCAAGUCAGCGGUCAAAGUUCCGGGCUCAACCCGGUGUCGCCGUUGAAACUGGCGUGCUCGAGUGCGUGCGAGGAAGGCGGAAUGCGUUGUGUAGCGGUGAAAUGCAUAGAUAUGACGCAGAACUCCGAUUGCGAAGGCAGCAUACCAACUCGCGACUGACGCUGAGGCUCGAAAGCGUGGGUAUCGAACAGGAUUAGAUACCCUGGUAGU